rnacentral:rRNA from 1 species
UACGUAGGGAGCAAGCGUUGUCCGGAAUCAUUGGGCGUAAAGCGCACGUAGGUGGCUUGUUAAGUCGGGUGUGAAAUCCCUGGGCUCAACCCAGGAAGUGCACUCGAAACUGGCGAGCUUGAGUACUGAAGAGGGUCGCGGAAUUCCCGGUGUAGCGGUGAAAUGCGUAGAGAUCGGGAGGAACACCUGUGGCGAAGGCGAGUUCCUGGACAGUGACUGACGCUGAGGCACGAAGGCCAGGGGAGCAAACGGG